AACAAAUUUGUACAAGUAACAAAAAUAACAUUUUUAUUAGGAAUAUCCAGACGGAACGGAUAAACGGAUAAAAGCACGUGCGUUGUUCGAAAAACGAAGCAUGGGGCGUGCAUACAUACAUAUGUCUAUGUGUGCGUGUGUGUGUGUGAAUUAGAUAAGGCCUCUGCAGAACUCGAUACAAUCGUAUCCAAGUCGAAACCGCGUUUAUUCCUCUUUUAUAUGGGUAUCCAAUACCCUGUACGAGUAGUUAGCGGGUUACUUCAUCAUCAUCGAAUAUCGAAUAGAUACACCUAAAUCAUAUCUUUCACUAUCCUUCAUAGCCAGCGAAACUGUAUCAUAUAACAAUAGAUAAUCAGAGCUUCAUACCAACCCCUAAAAUCGGAGACAUCAGAUGACAUUUGACAUUUGAGCAUCGAACAUCUUGAAGGGGUUUCUUCUGCCUCCCCUACAGCGCCACCCCAACUACCUAAUAACUUCACAGACAUUCCAAUGCGCCAGAAGAUGCCUCUGGCAAAUGUCGUCAAUAAGGCAACCGCACAUAACGUAUGCAGAGAAAAUUUUGCACAUACCUAAGUAUCUAUCCAGCCAGACAAUGCGACGCUCAACUUACGAAUUUCGGAUGCUGUGCCAACUACUACAUCAUAUGCACAAAUGUAUACAUCCAUGUAUGUAUGUAUGUACGCCAUUAGCGUGUACCGUUCAUUGCACUCAUUGUGGGUGCCAUAAAAAUUUCACAGUACUUUCCCUAGAAAUGUACGCAAUGUUCAGGCUGUUGCUGCUGCUGCCUUUGCGUCAAUUUUCCUUUUUAUUUAUAGUUGAACUACGCACGCAUCUGUAUACGUGUGUCUUUGUAUUUAUUUGGGUACAUAAGUCUAUGUGCAUGUCUACAUAACGGUACAUUUAGCAUUGAUGAAGCACAACGUGCGUGGUGAAAAAUUGACUGGGGUGGGGGAGGGUGCUGGUUGCACGUGUUCAGACCAACAGGUUGGUAGGCAACAAGGACACAAACCAAGAGAGAAAAAGAGAGAGAGGGAGAGAAGGAAGAGAAAAUUCCUGAAUAGUCACAUAAUUAGAGCGAAGAGGCGGAGAGGGCAUAUGGACGUGGCUUGAUCGCAGCCAUAUUGAAACAAAUACCAGCAGCAGCAGAAGCAGACGCAGACGCUGACGCUGUUUUUGUAUUUGCGAUGCCAACCCGACAGCGGCUGAUAGUUGACUCAGCGACAACGAUAAACGAUAUUGAAAAAAACGUUAAUUAAACACAGAAACAAAUACAGGGAGUAACAACAAAACAAUUAGAGCUUGUGUAUACGCAUACAUAUGUAGGCAAAAAUAUAUGCAGUUGCAUGUGUGUGCGUAUGCACACGUGUAUGUGUUGUGUGUAUAUGUGGCGAAAAUGGAAAAAGAGAACAAAUACAAAUGAUACAACAAACAAUCACAUAAAGUUGGAUAUACUUGAAUAUUCUUCCACACAUAUACAUAUAUGUAUAUAUGUAUGCAUGUAUAUUGAAUGUUAAAUAAAAUGUGAAUAAAAAUGCAAAUGAUUUACAUGUGACUGUGACCGUUGGUUUUGGCUGCAGCCUUAACCUUCUUCAACGGGUUGUGCAGCUGUAGCAGUGCUUGUGCCUGAUGUUGUUGGUGCGUUGCUGUUGUUGUUGUUGCUGUUAGUAAGCCGGCUGAAGCAUAUACUGAAGAAGCUGUGGAUGAUUUUCCUUUGGCUGCCGCAUCUUUAUUGCUGUUAUUGCUAUUAGUGUUAGUUUUGCUGCACAAAAACGUGAUACUGCUCAUUUUAGACAAUGAGCCAAUGCCAAAAUCCGACGUAGCGUAUGCGUUAGGUAUAUCAAUAUAUAGCAGCUAAAUGGGUCAAUCACUCGCUCACACAAACACAAGCACAGGCACAGACACAGACACACAGCACACUCCCACACUCAAAUGUUUGCACAAUGUGGCCGACGACGAC